UACGUAGGGUGCAAGCGUUGUCCGGAAUUAUUGGGCGUAAAGAGCUCGUAGGCGGUUUGUCGCGUCGUCCGUGAAAACUCACAGCUUAACUGUGAGCUUGCGGUCGAUACGGGCAGGCUAGAGUUCGGUAGGGGAGACUGGAAUUCCUGGUGUAGCGGUGAAAUGCGCAGAUAUCAGGAGGAACACCGGUGGCGAAGGCGGGUCUCUGGGCCGAUACUGACGCUGAGGAGCGAAAGCGUGGGGAGCGAACAGG
rnacentral:rRNA from 1 species